UGUAUUCACCACUAACCACAAGGACCGGUUAGACCCAGCUCUACUCCGACCUGGCCGAAUGGACAUGCACAUUCACAUGUCCUAUUGCAACCCUCAGGGUUUCAAGCUUUUGGCCUCGAAUUACUUGGGAAUCCACGGGUACCACCACCUUUUCGGCGAGAUUGAAGGCUUGUUGCAGGACACCGAGGUCAGUCCCGCACAAGUUGCCGAAGAGUUGAUGAAGAGCGAAGAUCCCGACAUUGCACUCGGAGGACUUGUCAAGCUGCUCAAACGGAAGAAGCUGGAAGGUGACGGACCGGUCGAUAAAGACGGUAAGACAGUCGGAAUUCGAGAAGUUAAAAGACAGAAAGUUGAGACCAAGGGUAAGCCAGUUAGGAUGAGUAGAAGGAAGGUGAAUAGGAGAAGGAACAUAUGAUUACUAGCUAUUAUAUUUUAUUUGCAUUAAAUUGCUGCUUGCAUGAGAUUUCAGUGCUUUUAGUGAAAUGCCACUCUUCUUUUUAGUUGUAAAAAUUUAGAAUUACAAUGGUAAUGCACAAAAAUUUUAAAAGGCUUCAAAUAUAUAUAGAAUGCGGCUUCAAGAUAUCAUUUUCUCUUGGCUCAAUGAAACCUAAAAUUCUAACCAUGUUUUUGACCAAAAAGAUGUCGUCUCUGUCAUCGUUGUUUUCGAAUCAGCAACUAUCUCUUCACAUAAUUGAAAGACUUGUUUAAGCAUCGCUCGAAACUAUUCGCUUUGAUCAUCAACGAAACCAAUGGCAUGGAGAGAAAUUAAGUCUACUAUGCAACCGAGGUUUACUUGUGCAACAAGAUAAGUUCCGACACCGAGAUGCUCAAAACAAGCAAAUCCCCAAAAGACAAUAACCUCACAAUAAAGUUCGCGAAAUGUGAGACAAUGGUCGAUUAUUUCCAAGGCAUCGAGCUUAAAUGGACCUAUGUAGGUAAUGAAGUAGGAAUGAGCAAUAACCAGAAGGAUCCAUCCGCUAUACGGUCGUUUGUGCUUGGUUUCAUAAGAAACAUAAAGACUUGGUUUUGAGUUCUUAUGUGCCUUACAUGCUAGAAAAAGCAAAGGCAAUAAGAGAUGAAUAAAGGGUUUUGAAGAUGUACACUCUCGACAACAAGCACUGAUUUAACUCAAAGGUGUGGGAUUCCAUUAACUUCGAACAUCCCGCGACGUUAGAGACGUUAGCAAUGGAUCCUGAGUUGAAAAAUGCUGUCAUGGAGGAUCUAAAUAGGUUUAUUAGUAGGAAAGAGUUUUAUAAAAAGGUUGGGAGAGCAUGGAAAAGGGGUUACUUGUUGUAUGGGUCACCAGGGACCAGUAAAUCGAGCUUGGUUGCAGCUAUGGCUAAUUAUCUUAAGUUCGAUGUGUAUGAUCUUCAGCUCGUGAAUAUAUACUGGGAGUCCGAUUUGAGACGGUUGCUGCUAUCGAUGGGGAACCGGUCAAUACUCGUGAUUGAAGAUAUCGAUUGCAGUGUCAAUCUUCCAAACCGGCAACAGCCAGCAACCUGCCGAUAAACCAAUAAAUCUGAAAAAGGAAGUACAGGUUUGGCUUCUCUACAGUUUACACACGUAGAUAAAUUAUGUAAGCUAAUUCUUAAGAUAUAUUUGUAAAAAUUGUGCAGUUGACACUAUCGGGGCUACUCAAUAUCAUUGAUGGAUUAUGGUCAAGCUGUGGAGACGAGAGGAUCAUUAUAUUCAGCACUAACCAUAAGGACCGGUUAGACCCAGCUCUACUCAGACCAGGCCGAAUGGACAUGUACAUUCACAUGUCCUACUGCAACCCUCAAGGUUUCAAGCUUUUGGCCUCGAAUUACUUGGGAAUCCAUGGCUACCACCACCUUUUCGGCGAGAUUGAAGGCUUGUUGCAGGACACCGAGGUCAGUCCCGCACAAGUUGCCG
rnacentral:lncRNA from 1 species